rnacentral:rRNA from 1 species
GAUGAACGCUGGCGGCGUGCCUAAUACAUGCAAGUCGAGCGAACGGACGAGAAGCUUGCUUCUCUGAUGUUAGCGGCGGACGGGUGAGUAACACGUGGAUAACCUACCUAUAAGACUGGGAUAACUUCGGGAAACCGGAGCUAAUACCGGAUAAUAUUUUGAACCGCAUGGUUCAAAAGUGAAAGACGGUCUUGCUGUCACUUAUAGAUGGAUCCGCGCUGCAUUAGCUAGUUGGUAAGGUAACGGCUUACCAAGGCAACGAUGCAUAGCCGACCUGAGAGGGUGAUCGGCCACACUGGAACUGAGACACGGUCCAGACUCCUACGGGAGGCAGCAGUAGGGAAUCUUCCGCAAUGGGCGAAAGCCUGACGGAGCAACGCCGCGUGAGUGAUGAAGGUCUUCGGAUCGUAAAACUCUGUUAUUAGGGAAGAACAUAUGUGUAAGUAACUGUGCACAUCUUGACGGUACCUAAUCAGAAAGCCACGGCUAACUACGUGCCAGCAGCCGCGGUAAUACGUAGGUGGCAAGCGUUAUCCGGAAUUAUUGGGCGUAAAGCGCGCGUAGGCGGUUUUUUAAGUCUGAUGUGAAAGCCCACGGCCCAACCGUGGAGGGUCAUUGGAAACUGGAAAACUUGAGUGCAGAAGAGGAAAGUGGAAUUCCAUGUGUAGCGGUGAAAUGCGCAGAGAUAUGGAGGAACACCAGUGGCGAAGGCGACUUUCUGGUCUGUAACUGACGCUGAUGUGCGAAAGCGUGGGGAUCAAACAGGAUUAGAUACCCUGGUAGUCCACGCCGUAAACGAUGAGUGCUAAGUGUUAGGGGGUUUCCGCCCCUUAGUGCUGCAGCUAACGCAUUAAGCACUCCGCCUGGGGAGUACGACCGCAAGGUUGAAACUCAAAGGAAUUGACGGGGGCCCGCACAAGCGGUGGAGCAUGUGGUUUAAUUCGAAGCAACGCGAAGAACCUUACCAAAUCUUGACAUCCUUUGACAACUCUAGAGAUAGAGCCUUCCCCUUCGGGGGACAAAGUGACAGGUGGUGCAUGGUUGUCGUCAGCUCGUGUCGUGAGAUGUUGGGUUAAGUCCCGCAACGAGCGCAACCCUUAAGCUUAGUUGCCAUCAUUAAGUUGGGCACUCUAAGUUGACUGCCGGUGACAAACCGGAGGAAGGUGGGGAUGACGUCAAAUCAUCAUGCCCCUUAUGAUUUGGGCUACACACGUGCUACAAUGGACAAUACAAAGGGCAGCGAAACCGCGAGGUCAAGCAAAUCCCAUAAAGUUGUUCUCAGUUCGGAUUGUAGUCUGCAACUCGACUACAUGAAGCUGGAAUCGCUAGUAAUCGUAGAUCAGCAUGCUACGGUGAAUACGUUCCCGGGUCU